rnacentral:sRNA from 1 species
CACACUACACAACUGAUCAGACAUCGAAAUAUAUAUAGUAUGUAUUUUUUCUCUCUUGUUUCUUUCCAAGUUUGUCUUCAGCACAGAGCCUGUGAUACGAUCUGAAAGUCAAGCACCUGGAUAGGUUGCUUCUCCAGGCAAGCUGCACAAAUUGUUUCCCGUUCAACAUAAUUGAAAUAAGUAAUACGAAAAACAAUUUGCACGGUUCAUCCGGAAUACCAAAUGUCAGUUGAACUUUUACAGCUCUACUAGAUACAAAGAUACUGAAACCUUGCAAGGACCACGUGGUGUGUUUUCUCGAAUCUUAGCAAUGGGUGUUAAAAGGGCAGCAGGACGAGCAAAACGCAAAGGCAUCUCUUGGAGAAAGAUAAACGAAUUCAAGGACUCUGAUUGAUUUUAAGGACAUUCUGGCAAUUUUUUCUAGGAUUAGACUCGAUUUACGCCAAAUAAAAC